rnacentral:rRNA from 1 species
ACGCUGGCGGCGUGGAUAGACAUGCAAGUCGAGCGGGAUUUUUCGCGGUAGCAAUACAGUGGAAAAUUCAGCGGCGAACGGGUGCGUAACACGUGGGCAAUUUGCCUUAAAGUGUGGGAUAGCUCGGCGAAAGCCGAAUUAAUACCGCAUGUGGCUACUGGAGACAUCUUCGGGACGCUAAAGGUGGCGCAAGCUACCGCUUUUUGAGGAGCCCGCGGCCUAUCAGCUUGUUGGUGAGGUAACGGCUCACCAAGGCGUUGACGGGCAGCUGGUCUGAGAGGACGACCAGCCACACUGGGACUGAGACACGGCCCAGACACCUACGGGUGGCAGCAGUCGAGAAUUUUUGACAAUGGGGGAAACCCUGAUCGAGCGACGCCGCGUGGAGGAUGAAGGUCUUCGGGUUGUAAACUCCUGUCAUUUGGGAACAAGGCGUAUGUAUUAACUGUACGUGCGUUGAUAGUACCAGAAGAGGAAGAGACGGCUAACUCUGUGCCAGCAGCCGCGGUAAUACAGAGGUCUCAAGCGUUGUUCGGAUUCAUUGGGCGUAAAGGGUGUGUANGUGGCGCGCUAAGUCGGGUGUGAAAUUUCGGAGCUUAACUCCGAAACUGCAUUCGAUACUGGCGUGCUUGAGGACUGGAGAGGAGACUGGAAUUU